UACAGAGGUCUCAAGCGUUGUUCGGAUUCAUUGGGCGUAAAGGGUGCGUAGGUGGCGCGGUAAGUCGGGUGUGAAAUUUCGGAGCUUAACUCCGAAACUGCAUUCGAUACUGCCGUGCUUGAGGACUGGAGAGGAGACCGGAAUUUACGGUGUAGCAGUGAAAUGCGUAGAGAUCGUAAGGAAGACCAGUGGCGAAGGCGGGUCUCUGGACAGUUCCUGACACUGAGGCACGAAGGCCAGGGGAGCAAACGGG
rnacentral:rRNA from 1 species